rnacentral:rRNA from 1 species
AUUGAACGCUGGCGGCAGGCCUAACACAUGCAAGUCGAACGAGUGGCGGACGGGUGAGUAAUGUCUGGGAAACUGCCUGAUGGAGGGGGAUAACUACUGGAAACGGUAGCUAAUACCGCAUACCCUCAGAUGUGCCCAGAGGGGAUUAGCUGGUUGGUGUGUUAACGGCGCACCAAGGCGACGAUCCCUAGCUGGUCUGAGAGGAUGACCAGCAACACUGGAACUGAGACACGGUCCAGACUCCAACGGGAGGCAGCAGUGGGGAAGAUUGCACAAUGGGCGCAAGCCUGAUGCAGCCAUGCCGCGUGUAUGAAGAAGGCCUUCGGGUUGUAAAGUACUUUCAGCGGGGAGGCGUUACCCGCAGAAGAAGCACCGGCUAACUCCGUGCCAGCAGCCGCGGUAAUUC